AGUGAACGCUGGCGGUAGGCCUAACACAUGCAAGUCGAACGGCAGCACAGUAAGAGUUUGCUCUUACGGGUGGCGAGUGGCGGGCGGGUGAGGAAUACAUCGGAAUCUACUUUUUCGUGGGGGAUAACGUAGGGAAACUUACGCUAAUACCGCAUACGACCUACGGGUGAAAGCAGGGGAUCUUCGGACCUUGCGCGAUUCAAUGAGCCGAUGUCGGAUUAGCUAGUUGGCGGGGUAAAGGCCCACCAAGGCGACGAUCCGUAGCUGGUCUGAGAGGAUGAUCAGCCACACUGGAACUGAGACACGGUCCAGACUCCUACGGGAGGCAGCAGUGGGGAAUAUUGGACAAUGGGCGCAAGCCUGAUCCAGCCAUACCGCGUGGGUGAAGAAGGCCUUCGGGUUGUAAAGCCCUUUUGUUGGGAAAGAAAAGAAGCAGGUUAAUACCCCGCUGUUCUGACGGUACCCAAAGAAUAAGCACCGGCUAACUUCGUG
rnacentral:rRNA from 1 species